GCAUAUCCAGAAGUUAAAUAAGUUCAUGUGCUAAACUUCCGGGUAAUGGAAGAGGAGUGAAAUCGAUAUGUUUCAUUUCUGGGUCAUCUCCUUAAACACUUGCCCUGUACUUUCCCCUGUGCCUUCUCUGUGGGCUGUAGCACAGGUUCAGUAACACCGAAGAGCAUGACAUCAGGGAAUGGUAACGCAGAAGAAAGGAAGGAACUUGCGUCCUUUUAUGACCUAGAGGAGUUAAUCUACUUCACCACCUGGACCGGCGGGACUGUAAUAUCCUACCUGGAUUCCAAACAUUUCCAAACGGCUCUUCCUGCAAGUUAUGGACUGUGGACUCGUUCCAUCCAUUGGUAAACCUGUGGCAUCUUCCUUGAUUGAAGGUGAAUCUGGAGCAACUGUUCUUUUGGCAAAUGCUGGCAAGCAUCCAUCAAAGUGUGUCAGGAUAACCUGGUAAAGUGCAGUAUCUAAUAGAAGCUGUGGAAUGGGGCAUCCUUUUCUUGUUCCGGUCUCAAAGGAGGACUUUCAAAAUGCUAAGUUUGAUUGCAGCCCCAACAUGGGAUGCUUUCUCUAGCUCUUUCUGCCUGCAACGACUAAUUCUUCACAUUUCAGCGAUGAAUCUAAUCUCCUCCAUCAUGUCCUCGUUCCUACAAAAUGCAUCGUGUUUUAUUCAGCGUCAACACAGUGCCUUAUAUAAUAUCAAAUAAAUAUCCACUGCUAUGUCUUAUCCACGGCUCAUCAACUGGGGCUAUCAGUCGAGAUUUUUUUUUUCCAGGUUUUUUUUUUUUUUGGGAAUCAACCUGCUUUAUUUUGGCUGAAAGCUGGUUCCUUCCUAAAACUUCACAUUAAACUUUAAUGAGGAUCAUAAGAGCUUUUGUGAAACAUCAAAUAAAGUAUAAUACUAAUAGGAAAGGCUAGGGAAAGAAAAUAAAUUGAUGUGCUUCUGGGGAAUUUUUCCCUCAACUACUGAACUGGUUUCUGUAUCUACCUCUAUUCACAAAAAGUCUUAUGUGAGGGUCAUAUAUGCACAGUUUGGCCUUCAUUCUCUCCUUCUACAAAAGCUCAUACAUUGUCCAAUGUAUAUAAGGAGUUUUUGAUAGCCUCUGGGAUGUUUUUGCAAAUAAAAUGGAAUUUCUAAUCCAAGAAGCUUACCUGCUAGUGAAGGAGAGGGAAAAGUUGAGGAAGAGGAGAAAAGUGGACACAUGAACGUGACAUAAGCAUUUGGAUCACUGGUGACAAGCCAAAAAAUCAAGGUGUUCAUAUUGAGGAAAAGACCAUCUUAUUUUCAUGUAUUAUGAAGGAAUCAAGAAAGAAAUGACUUGCUAAAUGUUGUAUAAGUGGCAUUUUGUAUGCUGAACCCAAGUCCUCAGUCUCAAAAUUUCUGUUUUUGUUCAUACUUUUAAAAAGACCAUUUAAUUCACAAGCCAAAUUCUGUUGGCAAGACACCUCCUAAGGGAUAUGAUGAAAAAAGAUGGCCAUCCACAGCCAGGAAGAAGGCCCUCACCAAGGACUGAAUCUGCCAGCAUCUUGAUCUUGGACUCCUUCCUCAGCCUCCGCAACUCCCAAACUGUCUUCUGCCAGAACCCUCCUGAUUACUUUCAAGUUUAUCUCAACUCCUCUAAUCUCCCCAGAUCACCAAGCAUACAGUAAGAGCCCUGAUUUGCAGUGGUAGGAACUCAUGCUCUGUGGUCAGUUUGGGUUCCCCUUAUUGUGUGGUGACCUGUAGCAGAGGAAAAGAAGUGGAGUGAGAAGCCAAAUUGAAGUCAAUGCUUAUGUGGUUGGAGUGGGAACUGAAGCAUAAACUUUCAGAUGAAAAAGAAGGGUAUGUAUCGAACUGUCACCAAACAUAGCUGGCCUAAUGAGACUCCCUAAGGAUGGCAUCUCCUUUGAAUCCCUCAAGGGCACACAUUUUCCAGACCUCUAGGAGAAGAUUAUUCACAGAGAAACCCACAUAACCAUGGAACCCACUAUUCCAAUCACCUUCUUCCUGAAUAUUUCAAUCACAGCACUUGGUUGGUGACCAUCGUGCAUGUCACAAGCUGAGUGGUUAAAUGGUACAAGCAAACAGUCCACUUUGGGAAUUCAACUGCUAACCUUUGAGCAGUUCCAAUAAUUCACAUCUUAAAUUACAUGUAGUCAUUUACUCGGGUGUUUUCAGGAAUUAAAGCACAAGGAACAAGUCUUAGAGGCUCUCUUACCCUUAUUCCCAUAUUCCUCUGUGAGCUCCUAUAUAGUUACCUCUCACUGUUCUAUAUUAAAGACUAUUAAAAAAAAUAAAGACUAUUGAUAAGGAUAAUCAGACAUAAGCAGACUAUUGAAAAGGAUAAUCAGACAUAAGCAGAUGGUUUUAAAAUAAUGUGGUUGGCUGACAUGAGUUAGGUUUUUCUUGCCUCCUACUCAGUUUGAGAUUAAAUUAUUAUUAAUCCCCAUUUCCUGACAUACAAGCACAGGUGGGAAGGGAAAGAUAGUUAAAGGACUUAAAACUAACCUCAAUUUAUCUGUACUCUGGCCAUCAAUGGUGCACUAUUCUUAGUAUCCAAGAAAACUGAGGAAAAACCCCAACAACCUAGUUUCUAGUUACACUUAGGAGAUGCAUACCUGAAGGCUAACUUACCCUGCAUGUCCUAGAAUAAGGUAGACAUAUUUUAACUUUCAGUUCUAAAUACCCUAAAUAUUCCUACCUAUGAAAUACUUAACUGCUUUUUCUUCAAUUUGAGCUUCAUUCUGAUUUUUCAUUGCAGUCUGACUAGCAUCUUCCCAUGGUGGAAUUUUAAACAGUUGCUUUGGCUGUUUAAAAGAGAUGUGAGUAAAGAAAAAGUUGGAAAGCUCUAUUGUCUUAAAAUAUUCAAAAGCACUAUAGUCAUAGCUAUAAAAAUAACACCAAUUAGACUAUAAUUUCUACUUAAUUUUUAAUUUCUGUAUUUAGAAAAUGAUAUCACACUGUAUUCUUAAAAUGUUUUCCCCAAAUAAUCCCUUACCCAACUUAAACACACAAAUUUUAGGGAAAUCAUUACUUGAAAUAUAAAGGAUUUUAUUCUUCUAUAUUCUUAAAGGAUUAUAGAGCUACAAUUCAUUAGGAUUUUAGAGCUCAAGUAUCCUCAAACUGUCAUGCUUUCUUUCACACAUCCCUAGAAGUAACUAAUCCUAAAUUUCAAACAAAGUCUAUACAUAUAAUAAAUAAGGUGGGAGCUCACUAAUGGACAUACCUAGACAGUUUUAACUGGUCAUGAAAUCUAAUUUUAGCCCUCACAACCAUACCUGUGGAUAAUGCAGUGCUGAUGUAAUAUAAUUUUAGGAGUUCAGGAAGGUCUGCUUACUCAAAAUUAUGCUUUCCUUCCAUUUGCAAAAUUAUUAAAAAUUCUACCAAUAGAAAUUUAUUCUUUGCCUCUCCCUAUUCCAGUUCAUCUUUCAAAAGGCAAACAAUCUUGGGAUAGAAAGCCAUUAAACUAGUUCAUUCUAAGGCAGGGAUCAGCAAAGCAGACCACUGUAACCUGUCACUUGUUUUUAUAGGCCCACGAACUAAAAAUGGUUUUUACACUUUUAUUUGGCUAAAGAAAAAUCAAAGUAAGAAUAAUAUUUUAUAACAUGUGAAAAUUACGUGGAAUUCAAAUUUUAGUUUCCCUAAAUAAUUUUUAUUGGAACACAGCCCAUUCAUUUCUUUACAUAUUGUCUAUAGCUGCUUUCAUUCUGAAUGGCAGAGGUGAGUGGUUGGGAGACAGCAGAUAGCCUGUAAAAUUGAAAAUAUUUAGAAUCUGGCCCUUUACAAGAAGUUUGGCAACCCUUUGUUCUAAGGUGUCAGUAUCCUAUAAGAAUUACUUCCUGCUUCACAGAGGGAGGUCAUCCUAUAGCAAAAUAACCUCUGUCAGUUUCCAGAAGGAGAAGAUAAGGUGAAACACGCAGACAAGGGGCAAGAAAAGACAACAGGAACCAGAAAACUUUUACCCAAUUUUUAAACUUAAAAAUAACAUUGCAAAGUUGUAUAUGUAUAAAUGCAUAUAUCCAGAAUAUAAAUCAUUUCUCAGGCCAUAAAGGUAUCUUCUCUUUGUCCUUUAUUCCUUUUAUCUAUCAUUUUUUCCUUCCUUCCUCCCUCUCUCUCUCUAUCCCUCCCUCCCACUUAUUUAAUCCAUCCACAUUCAUUCACAUUUAUUGAGGCAGACAGUUUGUUGAACAUUGGUACAUAGUUAUCAACAAGAAAGAUAAGGUCUCUCUGCCUUCAUGGAGUUUCCUUUCCAUAGAAGACAAAGACAUAAAAAGAUAUUCCAAAACCAUGAUGGGGGGGUCAGGGCAGAGAUUUACUUUAGACAGGUUAGUCAGAUAUCCAUGAAGAGGUGACAUUUCAGCUGAAGCUCAAAGGAUGAAAAUGAACCAUCACUGAAAGAGCUAAGGGAAAAGCAUUAGAGAGAGAGGAAGUAGCAAAUGCAAAGGUCCUGGGACAGGAAAAGGGUUUGCUUAAUUUCAGGAAUAAAAGGGACACUAGUGUAUGUGUUGUGACUGUUUACAAACAGUCCUUUUAAAGUACCAGUAUCAUAAAACCCAAUACUAUUUGUUAAAAGUUUAUUAUUCGCUGAAAAUAUGUUUCAUUUAAUGCUUCCCCAAACUCUCAAUAGGUGAAUAUUAUUAAUUUCAUUCAUUUUAAAGUCAGAGAAAUAGACUCAAAGAUAUUAAAUGUAUUGAAUUCCACACUGGGAUUGAGUUUAGACUGUAAUCCAGGUCC